rnacentral:lncRNA from 10 species
UGACAACUACUUAACUCUUCUCUUGCAGCAUGAAAGCAGCCAUAAACAAUACAUAAACAAGUGGAUAUGUCUGUGUUCCAAUAAAACUGUAUUUACAAAAAUUAGUGGUGACCGAGAUUUGGCCUGUGGGUCACAGUUUGUUGAUCUCUGUUUCAGAUGGCUUUCAGACUUGAACUGGAACAUUGACUCUCCUGGAUUUCCAGGCUGCCAGCCCACCCUGCCGAUUUUGGACUUGCCAGUCUCCAUAAUCACGUG